GCGCCGUCGCCGCGGCAACCGGGGCCGCGGCCGCCCCGUCCCGCCGGGCCCGGCGCUGCGGGAGCGGGAGGAGCCGCCAGCCCCGGCGGGUGAUGCUGAUCCAGCCCCAGGCGCCCGCAGCUUCCCCGGGACCUGCAAUCCCACCUUCAGGCAGUGACCUGCAUCCUGCUCAUUCCAGCACACAACUGGGAGCACGUGGAUCAGGCAGCGGUUCCUGGCGGUAUUUCACCUUUCCCAUUGUUACCAAAGGAUUGCCCAUGUUUGCUGCAGUGAUCCCAGCUGCAUGGUGCACUCCUCAGCUCCUGUGCUAACUGUGAGAGCUCGAGGGAGGGACACGUUCCUCUGUGCCAUAACGAUUUGGGGUGCUCCUCUCGAUGGUGCUGCAAAGCCACACUCAGCAUGUUCACUGCGGUGCAGGAUUCUCCUGCAGCACACGCACAGGUUACCCAUCCCCAGCUUUCCCAAGAGCUUCCCAGCGCCGUGUUCAGGGGUUGAGCACAGUUACACGGGGCUGUGGCUGGUUCCCCAAUGAGCCUCACACACAGAGGAACCCUCCGAUGGAGCACACUGCCCAGCAGCGCUCGUGCAGAUCCCUCUGCAUGGGGAAGCCUUUGAUUCGGGCACAGGCUGGCACCCAAUGGUGGCAAAUGCCACCCCAGCAGGACAUGGGCAGCCCCAGGAGAAGCGGGGGGAGCCUGGAGGAAUGCCUGGAGCAGGAAGAGGAGGAGGAGAGGGCAGAGGGCCCACAGGGUCCUACAGAUGCUGCUCCCGAACAUGUGGCAGUGCUGGGGUGGGAAUCGGAGGGGGCACAACUUCAAGAACCUUUAACUUCAAUGUUUCAGUUUAAAGCUCCUGAGGUUAAUGAUAUAUAUAUGUAUUUAAAUCCUUGGAUUGAGUUCUAGAGGAAUUCAGAGCAUUAGAGACAAAAACUCCAAUCCCUGCACUGCAGUUCCCUGAAGAUGUGCCGCUUCCUGGGAUAACACCGAGAUGGGGCUUUGAGGAAGCAGGUUCUCUACAGCUCAGGCUCAACUGAAUGAUCUGGUCUUGGCACGUAGCCUUGCUAACAUGUGAGCACAAGGGGGAAACACUUCAGCAAGAUUCUAAACCCAGAGCUUUAUUUGCAACAGUAGAAGCAAACAAACCCACCAGCAUCAUGAGGACCAGGCUGUGCCAUGGCCUUUCAUCAGGAGCCUUCUGCUUCAGGAACUCAAAGUCCAUCAGUUCACCCGUUGUUCUUCCAAAUGGAAAGAGUUGGGAGUUGCCACAUCUCACCAGAGAAGCAGGAGGAAGGACCAGAGAAAGUCACUGCUGCCUCCUUCUUAUUGGCCUUCCCUGUGCACUUCCCAAAGGUAGAAGCCUGAAGACACCCAAUCCAGCCAGUGCAGUGUCUGGGCACAGUCUGGUACAGCUGGAACAACGGACAACACUGUCCCCUUAUGGAUCUGGAGCGGGGUCAGUCCAAGGACAAGGGAAUUCCUAAUGGGUGCAAGGGGAUGCCAAAGGAAACAUCCCCCCGCUGGUGAACACAGGCUUGCUGGAGAGGAGAAGGGCUGGAAUGUCAGAGGAGUAAAGCCUCAGUCCUGCAGAGCAAAUCAGCAGGGACUUUCUCAAAGGAAAACCAGAACACGUGAGCAGUGGGUACAGAAAGAGCCAGGGUGGGACACAGCAGCACUUACACAGCAGGCAGCGGAGGGUGGUUGGUUUUACAUCCUUUCUCCCAAC
ensembl:lncRNA